rnacentral:sRNA from 1 species
CCCUCACUAGAAAGACAUCAUCUUGAAUUCACCUUCUCCCCUCUCCCAGGAGACUGGUCUCUGUGCUGACUUCCACCCGAGUGGGGCAGUUGUGGCCGUAGGACUGAACACGGGGAGGUGGUUGGUUUUGGACACAGAGACCAGAGAGAUCGUGUCUGAUGUCAUUGAUGGCAAUGAGCAGCUCUCAGUGGUCCGGUACAGCCCAGGUGGGAGCCACCCCAACCCUGGACUCACAUGCGUCCCUGGCCCUUCCCUCUCUGAGUGACUGUAUUUGCAGAUGGGUUGUACCUGGCCAUUGGUUCCCAUGACAACGUGAUCUACAUCUAUAGUGUUUCCAGUGAUGGUGCCAAAUCCAGCCGCUUUGGCCGCUGUAUGGGUCACUCCAGCUUCAUCACUCAUCUUGACUGGUCCAAGGAUGGGAAUUUCAUCAUGUCCAAUUCUGGGGACUAUGAGAUUCUUUACUGGGACGUGGCUGGAGGCUGCAAGCAGCUGAAGAAUCGCUAUGAGAGCCGAGACCGGGAAUGGGCUACCUACACCUGUGUGCUGGGUUUUCACGUCUACGGUGAGCAGGGGCGUGGAACCCUGCUGGAAGGGU